UACGUAGGGUGCAAGCGUUGUCCGGAAUUAUUGGGCGUAAAGAGCUCGUAGGCGGUCUGUCGCGUCUGCUGUGAAAACUCAGGGCUUAACCCUGAGCUUGCAGUGGGUACGGGCAGACUAGAGUGCGGUAGGGGAGACUGGAAUUCCUGGUGUAGCGGUGAAAUGCGCAGAUAUCAGGAGGAACACCAAUUGCGAAGGCAGCUCGCUGGGACGUAACUGACGCU
rnacentral:rRNA from 1 species